CAGCAGCCGCGGUAAUACGAAGGGUGCAAGCGUUAAUCGGAAUUACUGGGCGUAAAGCGUGCGUAGGCGGUUUGUUAAGUCUGUUGUGAAAUCCCCGGGCUCAACCUGGGAAUGGCAAUGGAUACUGGCAAGCUAGAGUGUGUCAGAGGAUGGUGGAAUUCCCGGUGUAGCGGUGAAAUGCGUAGGGAUCGGGAGGAACAUCAGUGGCGAAGGCGGCCAUCUGGGACAACACUGACGCUGAGGCACGAAAGCGUGGGGAGCAAACAGGAUUAGAUACCCGCGUAGUCCCUGUCUCUUAUAA
rnacentral:rRNA from 1 species